rnacentral:tRNA from 2 species
GGGCCUAUAGCUCAGUUGGUAGAGCAAACUGCUUCUGCGUCAACUUCCUCGUUCACGAGGUGAUAGUAGGGGCUACUUAGGUCGCAGGUUCGAGUCCUGCUAGGCCCG